rnacentral:rRNA from 1 species
ACGGAAGGCAGCAGUGGGGAGUAUUGCACAAUGGGCGAAAGCCUGAUGCAGCGACGCCGCGUGAACGAUGAAGUAUUUCGGUAUGUAAAGUUCUAUCAGCAGGGAAGAAAAAUGACGGUACCUGACUAAGAAGCACCGGCUAAAUACGUGCCAGCAGCCGCGGUAAUACGUAUGGUGCAAGCGUUAUCCGGAUUUGCUGGGUGUAAAGGGCGUGUAGGCGGGACAUCAAGUCAGAUGUGAAAGUACGAGGCUCAACUUCGUGUCUGCAUUUGAAACUGACGUUCUUGAGUGUUGGAGAGGCUAACGGAACUCCUAGUGUAGCGGUGAAAUGCGUAGAUAUUAGGAAGAACACCAGUGGCGAAGGCGGUUAGCUGGACAAUAACUGACGCUGAGGCGCGAAGCGUGGGUAGCAAACAGGAUUAGAUACCCUGGUA